rnacentral:rRNA from 1 species
AUAUCAAUAAGCGGAGGAAAAGAAACCAACAGGGAUUGCCUUAGUAGCGGCGAGUGAAGCGGCAAAAGCUCAAAUUUGAAAUCUACCAGCAAUGGUCGAGUUGUAAUUUGUAGAUGGCAACUCUGCAUAAUAUCCUUUGCUCAAGUUCUUUGGAAAAAGACAUCAUGGAGGGUGACAAUCCCGUGAGGCAUUGGGUAGGAGCGUAUAGAGUGCUAUCGAAGAGUCGAGUUGUUUGGGAAUGCAGCUCUAAGUGCGUGGUGAAUACCAUGUAAAGCUAAAUACGGACGAGAGACCGAUAGCGAACAAGUACUGUGAAGGAAAGAUGAAAAGCACUCCGAAAGGAGAGUGAAAUAGUACGCGAAAUUGUUAAAGUGGAAGGGCUUACAAUCAGACAUGGUUUUUUGGGUUCCACUACGUUUAGGCGUUGUGUACUCCCUUUUUACCGGGCCAACAUCAGUUUUGACAGAAGGAUAAAGACUGAAGAAUGUAGCAUCUCUCGAGAUGUGUUAUAGAUUCUGUUCAUACUUCUCGUCGAGACUGAGGACUGCCUUUGUAGGAUGUUGGCGUAAUG